rnacentral:lncRNA from 1 species
CAGUCGUCUUCACAGGCGACCACGCACCACACACACUAACAGUCGUCUUCACAGGCGACCGCGCACCACACACACUAACGGACGUGCCCGACAUCUUCACAGGCACAGCAUGAGCCCUGAUGUGCGCUUUCUGCUCCUGCUCCUGCUCCUGCCCCUUCGGAGGCCUGUGCCAGUGGCAGCUGGGCCCGGAGACACCAGGCCGGCACUGCUCUCUUUCGAGGCACCCGUGUUUGUGCCGACGCUGACUCCCGGUUGUCUGCAGCAGCCACGUGGCCGAAAUGGAGCCUCUCCACGGGGGCUCCUUCCCCAGCCCCUGGAUGGCACAGCAGCCUCUCCUGUCUGUCACCACGUGUGACCUGCUCCCUUAGUCUUCAGCCGCUCAUCCACGUCUGCAGGGGCAUCUAACUCUGUCCCAGGGUAUCCCAGACCCUGGCUCACGCCCCAGGCUCUCCAUUCAGGCUCCAUCGUCCACCUCAGACCAUCUCGGGUUUGCUGGUCUUCUGGACUAGCGCAGCCAGAAAGAACCCAGGAAGGAAGCCUCACGUCUGACACAAGAACCUUCGGUGCUAACCCGAGGGCGGUAUGUGCAUCCUCAGCACCUGCCCAUCCGGCACCAUCCUCUGAUCCAGGGACUGUGAGCAACAGGGCCCCGUGGCCAGGACAUCUCUCACCCUCCAGUUAAAAUCUCGCCAGUUGAGUCUGCCCAUGAAAGUAGGCGCUGAACUGCCCAAUAAAUCCACAAGUAAGAGUUGCAAGAAGGAGCCAAAAAGGGCUGAGCUGAAUGACUCAUAUAUGAAAUAAUUUGAUAAUUAAUAUAAAUAGGAAAUUUAAAGUCUCCAGCUGAGUGACAGAAAACACCUUAAAAAGCUCAAGAGAGAGGAAAGGAAGAAAAUAAACCUAUAAUUGCAAAAUAAAAGCAUUGAAAGAAGCCGUGCUCAAGGUCUGCCUCUGCCUUUGCUCCUGCUAUCCCCAGGGCCCCAGGUGCCCCUCCCUCCACCUCAUCCUUCUGGACCCAGCAAAUGUCCUCCACCAGGAGGCCUUUCUGGACCUCCUCA